UGGCCCGAAGCGACCGCAGCACUGUUUGUGCCCCUCCCCGGCCCUGCCUGAAAACCUCCUGUGCUGUCCUUCACAACCUCAGUCUGUGCUCAUCGCCAGCGCAAUGCGAAGGGUCAGCAGGCCUCUGUGGCUGCUCUGGUGGAGCCGCACGUGGGAGAAACCCUGGAGCCCUGAGUCACCGCGUGGAGAGGAUGUGUCCGUGGUGGCUGCCUCGUCCACAUCAGACUGUGACAUGAGUAGCAAGGAAUGGUUUGAGACAUUGGGUUAAGACACUGAAAUGCCUGUUAUGGCAGCUGGAUGGCAUUCUCCUAACAGAUAUAGUCUUGAAUGGGUGAGUGGAGUCUCCCCCAGCUUGACCACUGAGCAGAAGGUCGCACUUUUGAUGAGGCAUUUUCAUCAAGGAGGGUAUGUUAAUCUAACCUGCCGGAAUUCCUCUUUUCUUCUCACAGCAAUGCUGAAAGAUGAAUUGAAGCAAUCUUUGGAAGAUUUUGAACUCUUUGGAGGAAAGAGAGUAUGUAAAGACAAGCCUUCGACGUGUGGCCUUCCCCUGAGCACAGGAAAGUGCAUACAGGGUGCGUCUGAAGGUUACUUGGCUGCUGUUUUAAUGGAAUAGAAGAACAUGUCUUUGGUCUUUAAAAAUUCAAGAGGCAGGAACCAACUCUGGAAAAGCCCUGUUCUGGUCAGAUUAAGAAGCAGGAGGUUAGAACCGCUGUCGGGUCAGCGUUGGGGCGAUGCUCGUCUCGAGUGUGCAGGCUUGACGUCGGGCGCCCUGGGGCCCUCACCAGUCGCACGCUCUCCCGCAGACACUCACUGUCCCCCUGCCCUGGUUUCACCGGCCUGCAUCCUCCUUCCUCCUGCAGAGGAUGUGCCCCCUCAGGCAGAGACCUCAGUUUCCACUCGCCUCAGCGUCUGUGCGCGGCACCUGCCUGGCCGAGCCCCGCGUGUCCCCUGGGUCUGUGCUCAGUGCUCGGGCUGGGCUGCCCGGGCUGGGGAUGGCCGGCAGCAUCACAAACCUCUCUGGGGAGGCUGGUCUGUGCCGGGCACUGAACCACGUGCUCUUCAUGGGUUAUUUCAUUUACUCCUCAUAGUGAAUGUAUGCGAUGGGGCAUACGACUGUCUCCAUUACAGAUGGGUCUGAGGUUGCCCAAGGCCACGAGACAGGGGACUGGGCAGGGUUCCAGGGACACUUCUGGGGUGUCCUCUGGGAUUAGAAGAAUGCAGACCCCAUGGUCCUGCUCUGUGGUAACUCCACAAAUUCCCGAGUCUUCUCAGGUUCUGCCCGUGAGCAGUGAUGAUAACCAGAGGGAAGGAAGGCAGGAACAGGGAGAAACCAGGGAGAAUUAGCACAUGAUCUGUGAUUAUUUCUUAGAGAAAAUGGAAAAGAUGUUUGCA
rnacentral:lncRNA from 1 species